GAAACGAUCAGCACAACACUGAGCUACGGCCUGCUGCUCCUGAUGAAGCACCCCCAUGUCACAGUUAAAGUCCAGAAAGAAAUUGACUAUGUGAUUAGCAGACACCAGAGCCCCUGCAUGCAGGACAGGAGCCGCAUGCCCUACACAGAGGCUGUGCUGCACGAGGUCCAGAGAAACAUUGACCUUCUCCAUAGCAAUGUGCUUCAUGCC